AUCACUUCUUGGUCUUUUGGCUAAGAUCAAGUGU
rnacentral:snRNA from 1 species